ACUCCUACGGGAGGCAGCAGUGGGGAAUUUUCCGCAAUGGGCGAAAGCCUGACGGAGCAACGCCGCGUGAGGGAUGAAGGCCUCUGGGCUGUAAACCUCUUUUAUCAAGGAAGAAGGUCUGACGGUACUUGAUGAAUAAGCCACGGCUAAUUCCGUGCCAGCAGCCGCGGUAAUAC
rnacentral:rRNA from 1 species